CCCCUUAUCUUUUGAAGAUCUGAUGCACAAACUCAGGGCAAUGCUGGUUCCCAACUGGAACUGUGGACCUCAGUGGUGUUGAACAAUCGGGAAAAGAAACAUAAAAUGGAAAGGUCUCCACCAGUCAACCGUAAGAAACAGUGAUGACUAUGAUGUAGCCUUCAGCAUGGGGAAGUACCAAUGCCUGCAUUCUAUGCUACCAGCAGCAGCUGCCCUAGCUUCUUUACCACAUCAACGUUUUCAUACACAUUAUCUCACAAUUUGUCUGCUAAGACUUCAGCUGUAAUUUAUGAAGCACUGAAGGGACUACAUCCAUCCGAGUGAUAGAAACUCCAGGCUGAAGCUGUUCAAGCAAUCCUAACUCGUCUUAUGUAUCAAUAACCCCAGUACCUGGCACUGAGCAAUAUCAAAAAUUGGAGAGAAUAAACUGUGGAUAUAUAUUUUUAAAAUUUAGCUCACUAGGAUAAGAGAAUCUGAUUGCAGACUUUAUGUUCUUUGGACUUUAAUUUGUAAAGUGAUUGAAUAUUUGGACUUAAAUUUCUCUCCAGGAAUUUGAAAAUGGUAGGGAGUUUGUAUUCAAACUUAGGGCAUCUUUAUGUUGACAGUCGAUUAAAUAUCUUAAUCAGGUUGUUUGAUCUCUACAACCUGUUAUGCUGUCUUUUAGAAACAUGACUAUAUAUAAUUUGAAAUGGGGAAUAGGAAAUAGAUUUUGAGCCUUGGCUACAGUAUAGUCUUGGAGCUAAUUUCAUGGAUGUACAGGUGUCAUUAAUCUCAGAGCUUGUGAGGGGGAAAUCCACACUGUCUAUAGUGAUCCCAUGGUGACUGCCAAAGCAGCAUUAGUUGGCCCUGGGAGAAUGGCCAGUAGGAGUAAGACUGUCUUGACAGGUUGCUGAUCUCUUCUGAGGGCAACAGCCACACUGCAGGAGGAAAACAAACAGCUGAGAGUGGUGGCCUAAAAAGGUGCUAGUCAGAUUUCCUGUGGAGGGGAGCACAGUUGACUCAAAACCCCAAAUGCCACCCCUCUGGAUCCAGCACCAUGUGCGGUGCUGCCAAAUUCUUCCAGGAUGGUCCCAGCCAACCAAUGCUGAGCCUGGUGGGAGUAGUGGUACAGGGUCCAUUCCUGCCUGAUGUGAAACUUUGCUGGCAGGUGAUUGGCUUGAGGACUUUCCAUUGGUCUUUUCAAAACUUUCUUAGAACUGCACCAUGCUACCCAAUCAUUGUUCCUUCCUUUAGCCUUCCCCACACUGCCUCCCACAGGUGCCAGACUUACCUCUUGGUCUGAGGCCGUCCUUACUUACUCAUGCUUCCUCCCUGUACCCUUCAUAGGCAUGUCCCCCAGUAAAGCUCUUGCACAUUUCACCUCGUCUUGGUGUCAGCUUCUCAGAGGUCCUGAACUAACGCACUAAAAAAUCUUAGGGGAAUGAAAGGAUUUUUAAAAUGCAAAGUUAAAAUGAAAUGCUUAUGGGAUCUCCUUGCCACUGCCUUCUCCUUCUCCUCCAGCCCAAGUUCCUCUGGAUACAUUUUGCAAACCACUUCACAACAUAGGAAGUAUGGAGGAAAAUGUGGUUUUACUGUGAGAAGAAAAAUAUAGAUGAUUCUUUAGGAAAUUCUGACGAGAGCAGAUGAAGGCUGAAUUGGAUCCCAAGACAGGAGAAGGUAUUAAAGGUGAUAAAUAUAAGACAGGGAAAGUCACACUUUAAGCUGAACAAAGAACUCUGGCUAAAGGAUUUGAAUCUCUUUUAGCUCCAAAGAAAGUUCCAGGUAAGGUUCUGAAGCAGGGAGUUUGUCAUAGUUAAGAAAGGAAGCAAUUAAAGUAAGAAAGUAUCUUAGAAGCAUUUUCCAGGUCAGUAUGAAUAGUAACAAAAUUCCAGAGAUAGUGCUAACCAGACAGGGGGAGGGAGAGACUGGAGGCAAAAUAUAAUGCUCCUGAGCCUGAUUUAAGCAGCUAAAGCAAAGUCCAGGCCAGGGAAAUGGAGGGCAGUGGCAAGAUACCACGGAGAGGUUUGUUACUCAGAAGACUGCUUGUAUUUUUGAAGUACAUUUUCAAAGGGUAAA
rnacentral:lncRNA from 1 species